GUGGGUAGGUAGGAGGAAGCCAGACGUGACGCAGUUUCCCCUAUCUAGAGUCUCUUCAUGACAGCAAGCAGACUCAACUGGGUCGGAGUCCUCAGAAGAGUGACUCCCUGUGUGGGGGUCCAAAUCCAUUCAGCCCCAGAGGUUUAUGUGGCCAAAGUCUGUUUUUUUCUGUUUAUUGUUGUCUGUCUGCUUGCUCUGUGUGCCUUUUGCGUUUUCACAGGCUAAAAUUAUAGGUUCCUCACAGUCCACAGAAGGAACUCCACUUGAUUGUGUUUUGAAUAACUUCAAAAAAAUUUAUUCCACAGACAGAGAAGAUGAAUAUGGCAUGAAAUUUUCUAAAGGCAAAUUGUGAACUCUGUGUCAAUCAGAAUGGCCAAGUUUCGGAGUCAGUUGGCCCCUGGUAGGAACUUAUUCUGUGCACAUUGCUCACAAGGUUUGGAAUGUGGUCAUGGGAGUCAGGGCCCCACAGGUCCCAAUUGACCUUUGGCACUCAAUCAGGACAGGACUAUGGUCCAUCAGCCCCGUCUUCCUCCUCCCUUUUUCCUUUAAAACAGACAGAGCCCAGGGGAGGAUUGAUUUAUGUCCCUUUUACAACUAGUGAUCUUUACAAUUGGAAACAUCAAAAUCCCCCCUUCUCUGAAAAACCUCAGGCAUUAAUCUCUUCUUGAGUCUGUUUUUCAUACCCAUCAGCCAACCUGGGAUGAUUGCCAGGAGCUUUUACAGAUCCUGUUCACCACUGAGGAGCGGGACCGCAUUUAUCAACAAGAAGUCAAAGAGGCCCUGGGGCCAAACCCCAGCAUCACUCCUGGAACUCUGGGGCAUCCAGCCAAGGCUGAAACAGUAGUUCCAUUGUGACACCCCAAAUGGGACCCCAAUGAUGAUGAUGGUAAGAGGAGGCUGGGGACCUACCACCAGCACCUAUUAGGGGGACUCCGGGCAGCGGCCAGAAAGCCCACUAAUUUGAGUAAGUACCAGGCCCUGUUGCUGGAUGCUCCGCACAUCAAAUUCGCUUGAAAAAUGACCCUCAAUCCGGCCACCUUACUCCCAGACUCCAACUCAUACGCAUGCCCCUCCGUGACUGUCUGGACACUCUGACAACUUCCACCACCAACCACCCAGAUCUGACUGAUGUUCCCCUGCAAAGCCCAGAUGAGACCUUCUUCACCGAUGGAAACAGCUUCGUGGAAGACUGAGUCAGUCUCUUCAAGCCUUACAGAUUCUUCAGAGUGAAAUCCAGGCUACAAUACUGCAGGCUCGAAAAAAACCUUUGCAACGUUCCAGCCUCACAGUUUCAAGCCAGGAGACCUGGUCCUGAUAUGCUUGGUUUGCUUGCACUGAGGACUUGACUAAAUAUGUUCCCAAAUCAGUCUUGGCUACCCAAUCUGCCACUUUAUUUUGUGUCACCGUGUAUGUUGUUCCACAAGUCUUGUAUUGUAAUAAAAAAGGGGGCCGCAAACAUCUGGGAUUAACCACUGAACACUAUAGGA